GACGAACGCUGGCGGCGUGCUUAACACAUGCAAGUCGGGCGGAAAAGCCCUGCUUUUUCCGGGUGCUCGAGUGGCGCACGGGUGUGAAGCCGAGGGUACUCUGUCCUUGUCUUUGGGAUAACCUCAGGACGCUGGCUCUUAUACCGGACGGCAUCUGCUGCUGCAUGGUGGGGGUUGGAAAGUUUCGGCGGCUGGGGAUGGUCGUGCGGCUUAUCUGCUUGUUGGUGGGGUAGUGGCCUACGAAGGCUGUGCCGGAUAGGCGGCCUGAGAGGGUGACCGGCCACAAGGGGACUGAGAGACGGACCAGAGUGGUAUGGGGGGCAGCGGGGGGAAAUAUUGCACAAUGAGGGGAAGUCUGAUGCGGCAACGCCGCGUGCGGGAAGAAGGCCUUCGGGUUGUAAACCGCUGUAGGCUGAGACGAAGCGGGAGUGACGGUAAUGGGUAAAGAAGCACCGGCUAACUACGUG
rnacentral:rRNA from 1 species